rnacentral:rRNA from 1 species
AGUGAACGCUGGCGGCAGGCCUAAUACAUGCAAGUCGAACGGCAGCACAGCAGAGCUUGCUCUGUGGGUGGCGAGUGGCGGACGGGUGAGGAAUACAUGGGAAUCUGCCCAGUCGUGGGGGAUAACGUAUGGAAACGUACGCUAAUACCGCAUGCGCCCUACGGGGGAAAGUCGGGGACCGCAAGGCCUGGCGCGAUUGGAUGAGCCCAUGUUCGAUUAGCUAGUUGGCGGGGUAAAGGCCCACCAAGGCGACGAUCGAUAGCUGGUCUGAGAGGAUGAUCAGCCACACUGGAACUGAGACACGGUCCAGACUCCUACGGGAGGCAGCAGUAGGGAAUAUUGGACAAUGGGGGCAACCCUGAUCCAGCCAUGCCGCGUGAGUGAAGAAGGCCCUCGGGUUGUAAAGCUCUUUUGUCCGGAAAGAAAGCAAUCGGUUAAUACCCGGUUGUCCUGACGGUACCGGAAGAAUAAGCACCGGCUAACUUCGUGCCAGCA